rnacentral:sRNA from 1 species
GUGUGCGUUCGAGGGACGCUCAGGGUUUCCUGAAGUCCCGGGCUAGGACUAGUCCCUCGAACUCUGC